GACGAACGCUGGCGGCGUGCCUAAUACAUGCAAGUAGGACGCUGAAGAGAGGAGCUUGCUCUUCUUGGAUGAGUUGCGAACGGGUGAGUAACGCGUAGGUAACCUGCCUUGUAGCGGGGGAUAACUAUUGGAAACGAUAGCUAAUACCGCAUAACAAUGGAUGACACAUGUCAUUUAUUUGAAAGGGGCAAUUGCUCCACUACAAGAUGGACCUGCGUUGUAUUAGCUAGUAGGUGAGGUAACGGCUCACCUAGGCGACGAUACAUAGCCGACCUGAGAGGGUGAUCGGCCACACUGGGACUGAGACACGGCCCAGACUCCUACGGGAGGCAGCAGUAGGGAAUCUUCGGCAAUGGGGGCAACCCUGACCGAGCAACGCCGCGUGAGUGAAGAAGGUUUUCGGAUCGUAAAGCUCUGUUGUAAGUCAAGAACGAGUGUGAGAGUGGAAAGUUCACACUGUGACGGUAGCUUACCAG
rnacentral:rRNA from 1 species